rnacentral:lncRNA from 1 species
AAAUUCCUCUCCUUGACAGUAGAAGACAUAUUUGGCACAACCUAUGUCAAGGUUUCCUUUAUUUAUACAUAUCAGCAUACUUUAUACAUGUUUGUUUGGCUAUUUCUGCCACAGUUGUGCAGCCAGUUGAAUCAUUCCUACCAUGUAAACGCCUAUAAAUAUUUAUACUAACUUUUUCUCAUAAGAUAUUUAAAUGUUACUCCCUCCGUUUCACAAAGAAUGACCUCCUUUCCUUUUUAGUCAGUUUAAAAAAGAAUGACCUCUUUCCUUUUUUGGUAACAUUUUACUUUUUGCUUUCCACGUGACAUGUUUAAGACCACAAGAUUAAAAGACAAUUUUGUACAUUUGACAUAACUUUAAUUUAGAACCACAAGAUUCAAAAAUCUUCUUUAUUUACUUAAACUCCGUGCCAAGUCAAACCAGGUCAUUCUUUGUGAAACGGAGGGAUACAAUUUUUUUCUUUUUGUUUUCAGCACCAGCUACUAUGCGUUAAUCAUGUACAACAGAUAUAGUCGAAUAGACUAUUCCGUAUUCUGCUGAGGAAGUCAUCCGGAUAAACUCUAACAGUUCUAUCCUACAUAGAAAAGGAACAUGUUUUCCCGUCAAGCAUUAACUAGAGAAACGCUAAAAAGGUGAAGCCGCUCAGCACAAGCAAGGUGGGGAUAGUGCCAUCAGUUAUUGAAUCUGAAUCUUCACACCAACAAAAAAGUUAAUAAAAUAUUAGUCAAUUAAUCAUCCUUUAAUUUGUUCCAAUGCAAAGGGUAGUCCAUCAGAUUUAUGUAUUGUACAGGCAAACAUGCAUCUAUUCUUGAAAGACAAGCACUACAAUUUAGUUACAUUUGGUCGGAAUAAGUUUUGUUUCCUCAUUUUUUCAAAUUUUAUAUGUUAUUGAUUUUUCCAAUCUAUCUCAAAUGACGUCCUCUUAUUUCACACGCUAAUUAGACGAGAAUGUAGAUUAAUUAAUAAUUCCCCCAUUCCCUUUUGUUUGUUGGUACAUUGGUAAGCAACAUCCCAUUCUAUGUCAUAUUAGUUUCCUAUAUGUUUCUCCAGUAAAUUCAAUGGAAAAAUCACUCUUACGAUUUUCAUUUUCUAUCAUUUCGGUGAAGAUAUGAUUAUUUUUUUAUCAUCAAAAUUUACAUAGCUUUAUUAUCUGAUAAUGCAUCAGAUAACUUUUGUAGUCUUCUGUGUCAGUCAUGUGUUAUUUUUGAAUUUUGUUGCAUAUAGAUUAUUUAUUUAACAUUCAGUUUGUUGUAGUCUCAUUUUUUCCAUUUUAUUUUUCCUCUCAAGUUCUUUGUCAUCUGAAUUAGAUUAAAAGGAAUUGUGAAUGAAAUUUGUAAUAGUCAGCAUCGUGGUAUUCUUAUUGAAUGAGCUAUCUUUCUUGGUGCCCGAGAUCAACAUUAAAUUAAGUGGCUAUGGCUGAAAUUUGAAUUGAUAAAUAGCACUAUAAGAGCAAAAUAAAUUUACAUGAAUUAUGUUGCAACUUUUGCUAAGUUUGUUAUCUUCUAACCCCACUUCUACCCUUACAUUUCUAGAUGUUUGAGUAGUGUCUAAUUGCAGAAACUAUAUUCCUUAUUUUGGUGUUACUGGAAAAGAAUAAUUUUUUGGAUUCUCAAUCCGUAUGGAAGACCAAUUAUUAGGAACUAGGAAGGAGGGAGUAACAAAGAUGGUAUGCAGGUUUUUCAGCUUUUUUUGUCCCCCCAACUCUCCAGAUUCAAAAGCAAAUGGAUAUGCUAUUUUCAGUUAAGUUUGUGGAAGUGACUUUCGUUUAAGUUAACAUUCAC